rnacentral:rRNA from 1 species
AGAGUUUGAUCCUGGCUCAGGAUGAACGCUGGCGGUGUGCCUAAUACAUGCAAGUCGAGCGAACGGACGAGAAGCUUGCUUCUCUGAUGUUAGCGGCGGACGGGUGAGUAACACGUGGAUAACCUACCUAUAAGACUGGGAUAACUUCGGGAAACCGGAGCUAAUACCGGAUAAUAUUUUGAACCGCAUGGUUCAAAAGUGAAAGACGGUCUUGCUGUCACUUAUAGAUGGAUCCGCGCUGCAUUAGCUAGUUGGUAAGGUAACGGCUUACCAAGGCAACGAUGCAUAGCCGACCUGAGAGGGUGAUCGGCCACACUGGAACUGAGACACGGUCCAGACUCCUACGGGAGGCAGCAGUAGGGAAUCUUCCGCAAUGGGCGAAAGCCUGACGGAGCAACGCCGCGUGAGUGAUGAAGGUCUUCGGAUCGUAAAACUCUGUUAUUAGGGAAGAACAUAUGUGUAAGUAACUGUGCACAUCUUGACGGUACCUAAUCAGAAAGCCACGGCUAACUACGUGCCAGCAGCCGCGGUAAUACGUAGGUGGCAAGCGUUAUCCGGAAUUAUUGGGCGUAAAGCGCGCGUAGGCGGUUUUUUAAGUCUGAUGUGAAAGCCCACGGCUCAACCGUGGAGGGUCAUUGGAAACUGGAAAACUUGAGUGCAGAAGAGGAAAGUGGAAUUCCAUGUGUAGCGGUGAAAUGCGCAGAGAUAUGGAGGAACACCAGUGGCGAAGGCGACUUUCUGGUCUGUAACUGACGCUGAUGUGCGAAAGCGUGGGGAUCAAACAGGAUUAGAUACCCUGGUAGUCCACGCCGUAAACGAUGAGUGCUAAGUGUUAGGGGGUUUCCGCCCCUUAGUGCUGCAGCUAACGCAUUAAGCACUCCGCCUGGGGAGUACGACCGCAAGGUUGAAACUCAAAGGAAUUGACGGGGACCCGCACAAGCGGUGGAGCAUGUGGUUUAAUUCGAAGCAACGCGAAGAACCUUACCAAAUCUUGACAUCCUUUGACAACUCUAGAGAUAGAGCUUUCCCCUUCGGGGGACAAAGUGACAGGUGGUGCAUGGUUGUCGUCAGCUUGUGUCGUGAGAUGUUGGGUUAAGUCCCGCAACGAGCGCAACCCUUAAGCUUAGUUGCCAUCAUUAAGUUGGGCACUCUAAGUUGACUGCCGGUGA